rnacentral:rRNA from 1 species
AGUGAACGCUGGCGGCAGGCCUAAUACAUGCAAGUCGAACGGCAGCACAGCAGAGCUUGCUCUGUGGGUGGCGAGUGGCGGACGGGUGAGGAAUACAUGGGAAUCUGCCCAGUCGUGGGGGAUAACGUAGGGAAACUUACGCUAAUACCGCAUGCGCCCUUCGGGGAAAGCCGGGGACCUUCGGGCCUGGCGCGAUUGGAUGAGCCCAUGUCGGAUUAGCUAGUUGGCGGGGUAAAGGCCCACCAAGGCGACGAUCCGUAGCUGGUCUGAGAGGAUGAUCAGCCACACUGGAACUGAGACACGGUCCAGACUCCUACGGGAGGCAGCAGUAGGGAAUAUUGGACAAUGGGCGCAAGCCUGAUCCAGCCAUGCCGCGUGAGUGAAGAAGGCCCUCGGGUUGUAAAGCUCUUUUGUCCGGAAAGAAAGCGCCGGGUUAAUACCCUGGUGUCCUGACGGUACCGGAAGAAUAAGCACCGGCUAACUUCGUGCCAGCAGCCGUACGG